rnacentral:rRNA from 1 species
AACGAACGCUGGCGGCAUGCCUAACACAUGCAAGUCGAACGAAGGCUUCGGCCUUAGUGGCGCACGGGUGCGUAACGCGUGGGAAUCUGCCCUUAGGUUCGGAAUAACAGUUAGAAAUGACUGCUAAUACCGGAUGAUGACGUAAGUCCAAAGAUUUAUCGCCUGAGGAUGAGCCCGCGUAGGAUUAGCUAGUUGGUGUGGUAAAGGCGCACCAAGGCGACGAUCCUUAGCUGGUCUGAGAGGAUGAUCAGCCACACUGGGACUGAGACACGGCCCAGACUCCUACGGGAGGCAGCAGUGGGGAAUAUUGGACGAUGGGCGCAAGCCUGAUCCAGCAAUGCCGCGUGAGUGAUGAAGGCCUUAGGGUUGUAAAGCUCUUUUACCCGUGAUGAUAAUGACAGUAGCGGGAGAAUAAGCCCCGGCUAACUCCGUG